UACAGAGGGGGCAAGCGUUAUUCGGAAUUAUUGGGCGUAAAGGGCGCGUAGGCGGCCUGACAAGUGGAAGGUGAAAUCCCUCGGCUUAACCGAGGAACUGCCCUCCAAACUGUUUGGCUUGAGACCGGGAGAGGUGAGUGGAAUUCCCAGUGUAGCGGUGAAAUGCGUAGAUAUUGGGAGGAACACCAGUGGCGAAGGCGGCUCACUGGACUGGUACUGACGCUGAGGCGCGAAAGCGUGGGGAGCAAACAGG
rnacentral:rRNA from 1 species